ensembl:rRNA 5S_rRNA 5S ribosomal RNA
GCUUAAGGCCACACCGCCUGGUUCAAGCCCGAUCUCGUUUGAUCUCAGGAGCUAAGGUAGGUUGGGCCUGGUUAGUACUUGGAUGGGAGACCGCCUGGGAAUACCAGGUGCUGUAAGCU